rnacentral:rRNA from 1 species
ACCCGCUGAAUUUAAGCAUAUAAGUAAGUGGUGGAAAUUAAACCAAAUGGGAUAUCUUUAGUAAUUGCGAAUGAACAAGGAUAUGCUUAGCUUGACAAAUGGAGCUAUUGGCUUUGAAUUGUAUUGUGGAAAUGUAUUACCAACAGAGGUGCAGGUGCCAGCCUAUUGAAAUAAAGCGUCAAUGAGGGUGAGAAUCCUGUUUGUCAUGUGCAGCCCUUUGUGCACGGUGUAUAUUUGCUGAGUCACACUCCUUGGCAUUGGAAUGCAAAGUGGGUGGUAAGUUUCAUGUAAAGGUAAACAUGCAAUUGAGACUGAUAGCACACAAGUACCAUGAGGGAAAUAUGAAAAGGACUUUGAAAAGAGAAUUAAAUGAGUUUGUAUUUGCUGAACACAAAGUAAACAGACUUGAUUUGCUUGGUGGGAGUGUUGCACUUGCUUGACAAGAGCUUUGGGCUGUGGGUGUAAUGAUUCUUUCUUUGCAUGCCAGUUUCUAUUUGUACAUCUGAUUACCUUUGCACAUGAAUGAUAAGUCUCCUGUGGGGGGUGGAUUGCAUGUGCAUGUAAUGAUUUGUGUUUUGAUAAAUGUGUCUGGUGUAUGUGUGUGUUCCUGUGCUUGGGGAUGCUUCCUUCCUUGGACUUACAAGCCCUGACACACACAUGCUGGCAAAAUGCUUCUGCUUGACCCGUCUUGAAACACGGACCAAGGAGUCUAACAGAUGUGCAAAGUUUGAAGGUGGUAUACCUUUGUGUGCAAUGAAAGUGUCAGCUGGGAUAUGUGCACCAGCACCCAAUUAAUUAGCGGACAGAGGUUUGAGUUGGAGCAUAUCUAUUAGGACCCGAAAGAUGGUGAACUAUGCCUGAACAGAAUGAAUUCAGAGGAAACUCUGAUGGAGGUUCGUAUCGAUACUGACGUGCAAAUCGUUCGUCAUAUUUGGGUAUAGGGGCGAAAGACUAAUCGAACCAUCUAGUAGCUGGUUCCCUCCGA